GGAGCACCUGAUUUCACUCCUAGUUUUUAGUGGAGUUCGUGUUGUUUCCUACUUAUUAUUUGUAACUGUUGAUGUAAAUGUCUUUUAGUUUUAUGAGUCUUUGGUUACUCCUUGGUUUUAAUUGUUAUUGUCUUAUACACGAUACCUUAUGGAUGUAUUUACAUGAUAUAAGCUUAUUAUUACACUUGCGUAUAUGAAUAACACAUGACAAGAAGGUUUCAUAUGAAAUAAAAUUUAAAAAAUAAAAUCCUCCCACCCGCCC
rnacentral:lncRNA from 1 species